rnacentral:rRNA from 1 species
AGAGUUUGAUCAUGGCUCAGAUUGAACGCUGGCGGCAUGCCUUACACAUGCAAGUCGAACGCGAAAGGGGGGCAACCCCCGAGUAGAGUGGCGAACGGGUGAGUAAUACAUCGGAACGUACCCAGUAGCGGGGGAUAACCUCUCGAAAGAGAGGCUAAUACCGCAUACGACCUACGGGUGAAAGAGGGGGAUCGCAAGACCUCUCACUAUUGGAGCGGCCGAUGUCGGAUUAGCUAGUUGGUGGGGUAAAAGCCUACCAAGGCCACGAUCCGUAGCUGGUCUGAGAGGACGGCCAGCCACACUGGAACUGAGACACGGUCCAGACUCCUACGGGAGGCAGCAGUGGGGAAUUUUGGACAAUGGGCGAAAGCCUGAUCCAGCCAUGCCGCGUGAGUGAAGAAGGCCUUUGGGUUGUAAAGCUCUUUCAGCUGGGACG